rnacentral:other from 1 species
UUUACCCUGCCUACGCACGUGAGAAAAAUUAUAUCCUUGGACCGUAGUAAAUAAUCCGAGGGACUUUAACCGUGGUGGUUGCCGACAGGCCUUUACUGGAAGUCGAAUGCCAUCCGGCGGGUUCCCACCUGUUUCCAACAAGUUCAAUGGAAAUGUUUCGCACGGCACUGGCGGGGUUUUU